rnacentral:rRNA from 1 species
UACAUAGGGGGCGAGCGUUAUCCGGAUUCAUUGGGCGUAAAGCGUGUGUAGGCGGUUUAUUAAGUCUAAGAUGAAAGCCCGAGGCUUAACCUCGGUUUGUUUUAGAUACUGGUAGGCUAGAGUAUGGUAGAGGCAAAUGGAAUUCCUAGUGUAGCGGUGAAAUGCGUAGAUAUUAGGAGGAACAUCAGUGGCGAAGGCGAUUUGCUGGGCCAUUACUGACGCUGAGACACGAAAGCGUGGGGAGCAAAUAGGAUUAGAUACCCUAGUAGUCCACGCUGUAAACGAUGAGCACUAAGUGUCGGGCAACCGGUGCUGAAGUUAACACAUUAAGUGCUCCGCCUGAGUAGUACGGUCGCAAGACUGAAACUCAAAGGAAUUGACGGGCACCCGCACAAGCGGUGGAGCAUGCCGUUUAAUUCGAAAGUACGCGAAAAACCUUACCUAGACUUGACAUCCCUGGCAAAGCUAUAGAAGUAUAGUGGAGGUUAUCCAGGUGACAGGUGGUGCAUGGUUGUCGUCAGCUCGUGUCGUGAGAUGUUCGGUUAAGUCCGCUAACGAGCGCAACCCUUAUCUUUAGUUGCUAACAUUUAGUUGAGAACUCUAAAGAGACUGCCGGUAAUAAACCGGAGGAAGGUGGGGAUGACGUCAAAUCAUCAUGCCCCUUAUGUCUAGGGCAACAGGCGUGCUACAAUGGCUGGUACAAAGAGUCGCAAUACCGUGAGGUGGAGCUAAUCUCUAAAUCCAGUCUCAGUUCGGAUUGAAGUCUGCAACUCGACUUCAUGAAGAUGAAAUCGCUAGUAAUCCCGGAUCAGCAUGCCGGGGUGAAUACGUUCUCGGGUGUUGUACACACCGCCCGUCACGGCAUGGGAGUCAGUAAUAUCCAAAGCCGGUAGCCUAACCCGUAAGGGAGGGGGCCGUCUAAGAUAGGACUGGUGACUGGGCUG